rnacentral:ncRNA from 1 species
UUAAGGUAGAGGCGCAUUUUUUAUGAGUAGGGUGCUUAUGCGAGUGACCGUGAGGGGCAUACUGAAAGGAAACGAUGCCGAAGUGAGCAGAGAGUGUCACAGCUUUGCUUGCUGGUUGUGCUGUUAAGAGCAGUAUGACUGUCAUCAUGUUACCAAUGAUGGAGGGCUACUG